rnacentral:rRNA from 1 species
UACGAAGGGGGCUAGCGUUGUUCGGAUUUACUGGGCGUAAAGCGCACGUAGGCGGAUCGUUAAGUCGGGGGUGAAAUCCUGGAGCUCAACUCCAGAACUGCCUUCGAUACUGGCGAUCUCGAGUCCGGAAGAGGUGAGUGGAACUCCUAGUGUAGAGGUGGAAUUCGUAGAUAUUAGGAAGAACACCAGUGGCGAAGGCGGCUCACUGGUCCGGUACUGACGCUGAGGUGCGAAAGCGUGGGGAGCAAACCGG